rnacentral:rRNA from 1 species
AUACGGAGGGUGCGAGCGUUAAUCGGAAUUACUGGGCGUAAAGCGUACGUAGGCGGUUGGUUAAGUUAGAUGUGAAAGCCCCGGGCUUAACCUGGGAACUGCAUUUAAAACUGGCGAACUAGAGUUGAGUAGAGGGGAGUGGAAUUUCAGGUGUAGCGGUGAAAUGCGUAGAGAUCUGAAGGAACACCAGUGGCGAAGGCGACUCCCUGGACUCGAACUGACGCUGAGGUACGAAAGCAUGGGCAGCAAACGGGAUUAGAAACCCCAGUAGUCC